AGAGUUUGAUCCUGGCUCAGAUUGAACGCUGGCGGCAGGCCUAACACAUGCAAGUCGAACGGUAACAGGAAGAAGCUUGCUUCUUUGCUGACGAGUGGCGGACGGGUGAGUAAUGUCUGGGAAACUGCCUGAUGGAGGGGGAUAACUACUGGAAACGGUAGCUAAUACCGCAUAACGUCGCAAGACCAAAGAGGGGGACCUUCGGGCCUCUUGCCAUCGGAUGUGCCCAGAUGGGAUUAGCUAGUAGGUGGGGUAACGGCUCACCUAGGCGACGAUCCCUAGCUGGUCUGAGAGGAUGACCAGCCACACUGGAACUGAGACACGGUCCAGACUCCUACGGGAGGCAGCAGUGGGGAAUAUUGCACAAUGGGCGCAAGCCUGAUGCAGCCAUGCCGCGUGUAUGAAGAAGGCCUUCGGGUUGUAAAGUACUUUCAGCGGGGAGGAAGGGAGUAAAGUUAAUACCUUUGCUCAUUGACGUUACCCGCAGAAGAAGCACCGGCUAACUCCGUGCCAGCAGCCGCGGUAAUACGGAGGGUGCAAGCGUUAAUCGGAAUUACUGGGCGUAAAGCGCACGCAGGCGGUUUGUUAAGUCAGAUGUGAAAUCCCCGGGCUCAACCUGGGAACUGCAUCUGAUACUGGCAAGCUUGAGUCUCGUAGAGGGGGGUAGAAUUCCAGGUGUAGCGGUGAAAUGCGUAGAGAUCUGGAGGAAUACCGGUGGCGAAGGCGGCCCCCUGGACGAAGACUGACGCUCAGGUGCGAAAGCGUGGGGGAGCAAACAGGAUUAGAUACCCUGGUAGUCCACGCCGUAAACGAUGUCGACUUGGAGGUUGUGCCCUUGAGGCGUGGCUUCCGGAGCUAACGCGUUAAGUCGACCGCCUGGGGAGUACGGCCGCAAGGUUAAAACUCAAAUGAAUUGACGGGGGCCCGCACAAGCGGUGGAGCAUGUGGUUUAAUUCGAUGCAACGCGAAGAACCUUACCUGGUCUUGACAUCCACGGAAGUUUUCAGAGAUGAGAAUGUGCCUUCGGGAACCGUGAGACAGGUGCUGCAUGGCUGUCGUCAGCUCGUGUUGUGAAAUGUUGGGUUAAGUCCCGCAACGAGCGCAACCCUUAUCCUUUGUUGCCAGCGGUCCGGCCGGGAACUCAAAGGAGACUGCCAGUGAUAAACUGGAGGAAGGUGGGGAUGACGUCAAGUCAUCAUGGCCCUUACGACCAGGGCUACACACGUGCUACAAUGGCGCAUACAAAGAGAAGCGACCUCGCGAGAGCAAGCGGACCUCAUAAAGUGCGUCGUAGUCCGGAUUGGAGUCUGCAACUCGACUCCAUGAAGUCGGAAUCGCUAGUAAUCGUGGAUCAGAAUGCCACGGUGAAUACGUUCCCGGGCCUUGUACACACCGCCCGUCACACCAUGGGAGUGGGUUGCAAAAGAAGUAGGUAGCUUAACCUUCGGGAGGGCGCUUACCACUUUGUGAUUCAUGACUGGGGUGAAGUCGUAACAAGGUAACC
rnacentral:rRNA from 1 species